rnacentral:rRNA from 1 species
UACGAAGGGGGCUAGCGUUGCUCGGAAUCACUGGGCGUAAAGCGCACGUAGGCGGAUCUUUAAGUCAGGGGUGAAAUCCCGGGGCUCAACCCCGGAACUGCCUUUGAUACUGGGUAUCUCGAGUCCGAGAGAGGUGAGUGGAAUUCCGAGUGUAGAGGUGAAAUUCGUAGAUAUUCGCAAGAACACCAGUGGCGAAGGCGGCUGACUGGUCCGGUUCUGACGCUGAGGCGCGAAAGCGUGGGGAGCAAACAGG